rnacentral:tRNA from 1 species
GUGUGUAGCUCAGUGGCAGAGUGUGUGCUUAGUAGGCAUGAGGCCUUGGUUUGCAUCCCCAGCAACACA